UGGCCAUAUUAUGUUUAAACAUAGAUUUCCAUAUGAUCACCAAAGUUAAGCCACAUUGAGCCUGGUCAGUACCUAGAUAGGUGACCAUUUGGAAAUACCAUGUGCGGUAAG